UGCAACUCGCCUGCAUGAAGUCGGAAUUGCUAGUAAUCGCAGAUCAGCAUGCUGCGGUGAAUACGUUCCCGGGCCUUGUACACACCGCCCGUCACACCAUGGGAGUCGGUAACACCCGAAGUCGGUAGCCUAACCGUAAGGAGGGCGCCGCCGAAGGUGGGAUUGAUGACUGGGGUGAAGUCGUAACAAGGUAUC
rnacentral:rRNA from 1 species